rnacentral:rRNA from 1 species
AGAAUCAACGCUGGCGGCGUGCCUAACACAUGCAAGUCGAACGAGAAAGUGGUAGCAAUACCAUGAGUAAAGUGGCGCACGGGUGAGUAACACGUGACUAACCUACCCUUGAGGUGGGGAUAACUGAGGGAAACCUUAGCUAAUACCGCAUAAUACCCACGGGUCAAAGGAGCAAUUCGCUCGAGGAGGGGGUCGCGGCCGAUUAGUUAGUUGGCAGGGUAAUGGCCUACCAAGACGAUGAUCGGUA